AAAUUGAAGAGUUUGAUCAUGGCUCAGAUUGAACGCUGGCGGCAGGCCUAACACAUGCAAGUCGAACGGUAACAGGAAGCGCUUGCUGCUUCGCUGACGAGUGGCGGACGGGUGAGUAAUG
rnacentral:rRNA from 1 species